AAAUUGAAGAGUUUGAUCAUGGCUCAGAUUGAACGCUGGCGGCAGGCCUAACACAUGCAAGUCGAACGGUAACAGGAAGCAGCUUGCUGCUUCGCUGACGAGUGGCGGACGGGUGAGUAAUGUCUGGGAAACUGCCUGAUGGAGGGGGAUAACUACUGGAAACGGUGGCUAAUACCGCAUAACGUCGCAAGACCAAAGAGGGGGACCUUCGGGCCUCUUGCCAUCAGAUGUGCCCAGAUGGGAUUAGCUUGUUGGUGAGGUAACGGCUCACCAAGGCGACGAUCCCUAGCUGGUCUGAGAGGAUGACCAGCCACACUGGAACUGAGACACGGUCCAGACUCCUACGGGAGGCAGCAGUGGGGAAUAUUGCACAAUGGGCGCAAGCCUGAUGCAGCCAUGCCGCGUGUAUGAAGAAGGCCUUCGGGUUGUAAAGUACUUUCAGCGGGGAGGAAGGUGUUGUGGUUAAUAACCGCAGCAAUUGACGUUACCCGCAGAAGAAGCACCGGCUAACUCCGUGCCAGCAGCCGCGGUAAUACGGAGGGUGCAAGCGUUAAUCGGAAUUACUGGGCGUAAAGCGCACGCAGGCGGUCUGUCAAGUCGGAUGUGAAAUCCCCGGGCUCAACCUGGGAACUGCAUUCGAAACUGGCAGGCUUGAGUCUUGUAGAGGGGGGUAGAAUUCCAGGUGUAGCGGUGAAAUGCGUAGAGAUCUGGAGGAAUACCGGUGGCGAAGGCGGCCCCCUGGACAAAGACUGACGCUCAGGUGCGAAAGCGUGGGGAGCAAACAGGAUUAGAUACCCUGGUAGUCCACGCCGUAAACGAUGUCUACUUGGAGGUUGUGCCCUUGAGGCGUGGCUUCCGGAGCUAACGCGUUAAGUAGACCGCCUGGGGAGUACGGCCGCAAGGUUAAAACUCAAAUGAAUUGACGGGGGCCCGCACAAGCGGUGGAGCAUGUGGUUUAAUUCGAUGCAACGCGAAGAACCUUACCUGGUCUUGACAUCCACAGAAGAAUCCAGAGAUGGAUUUGUGCCUUCGGGAACUGUGAGACAGGUGCUGCAUGGCUGUCGUCAGCUCGUGUUGUGAAAUGUUGGGUUAAGUCCCGCAACGAGCGCAACCCUUAUCCUUUGUUGCCAGCGGUCCGGCCGGGAACUCAAAGGAGACUGCCAGUGAUAAACUGGAGGAAGGUGGGGAUGACGUCAAGUCAUCAUGGCCCUUACGACCAGGGCUACACACGUGCUACAAUGGCGCAUACAAAGAGAAGCGACCUCGCGAGAGCAAGCGGACCUCAUAAAGUGCGUCGUAGUCCGGAUUGGAGUCUGCAACUCGACUCCAUGAAGUCGGAAUCGCUAGUAAUCGUGGAUCAGAAUGCCACGGUGAAUACGUUCCCGGGCCUUGUACACACCGCCCGUCACACCAUGGGAGUGGGUUGCAAAAGAAGUAGGUAGCUUAACCUUCGGGAGGGCGCUUACCACUUUGUGAUUCAUGACUGGGGUGAAGUCGUAACAAGGUAACCGUAGGGGAACCUGCGGUUGGAUCACCUCCUUACCUUAAAGAA
rnacentral:rRNA from 5 species